rnacentral:rRNA from 1 species
GGAGUCUAGCAUGUGCGCGAGUCAUUGGGAUUCGUUGCUAAACCUAAAGGCGAAAUGAAAGUGAAGGCGCGCCUCGCGCGCGCCAAGGGAGGAUGGGCGAGGCUCACGCCGUCGCCCCGCACUCCCGGGGCGUCUCGUUCUCAUCGCGAGAAGAGGCGCACCCAGAGCGUACACGCUGGGACCCGAAAGAUGGUGAACUAUGCCUGGUCAGGACGAAGUCAGGGGAAACCCUGAUGGAGGUCCGUAGCGAUUCUGACGUGCAAAUCGAUCGUCGGAACUGGGUAUAGGGGCGAAAGACUAAUCGAACCAUCUAGUAGCUGGUUCCCUCCGAAGUUUCCCUCAGGAUAGCUGGCGCUCGCUUUUUGCGAGUCUCAUCCGGUAAAGCGAAUGAUUAGAGGCAUUGGGGUCGAAACGGCCUCAACCUAUUCUCAAACUUUAAAUGGGUGAGAUCUCCGGCUUGCUCGAACGUUUGUCCGGUGAAGCCGCGAGAUCGGAUCAGAGUGCCAAGUGGGCCACUUUUGGUAAGCAGAACUGGCGCUGUGGGAUGAACCAAACGCGGAGUUAAAGCGCCUAAAUCGACGCUUAUGGGAUACCAUGAAAGGCGUUGGUAACUUAAGACAGCAGGACGGUGGCCAUGGAA